rnacentral:rRNA from 1 species
ACGAGAACUCUUUAGCUUGCUAAAGAUAGUAAAGUGGCGCACGGGUGAGUAACGCGUGGGUAAUCUACCUCUGAAUCGGGGAUAACCCGCCGAAAGGCGAGCUAAUACCGGAUAAUAUCUUUAAAACUUCGGUUUUUUAGAUCAAAAGUGGUCUCUACAUGUAAGCUACUGUUUGGAGAUGAGCCCGCGUACCAUUAGCUUGUUGGUAGGGUAAUGGCCUACCAAGGCCGCGAUGGUUAGCUGGUCUGAGAGGAUGAUCAGCCACACUGGAACUGACACACGGUCCAGACUCCUACGGGAGGCAGCAGUGAGGAAUUUUGCGCAAUGGGGGAAACCCUGACGCAGCAACGCCGCGUGAGUGAUGAAGGCUUUCGAGUCGUAAAGCUCUGUCAAGUGGGAAGAACCUGCUGGAUAUUAAUACUAUCUAGCACUGACGGUACCACUAAAGGAAGCACCGGCUAACUCCGUGCCAGCAGCCGCGGUAAUACGGAGGGUGCAAGCGUUAUUCGGAAUUAUUGGGCGUAAAGGGCGCGUAGGCGGUCUCUAAAGUCAGAUGUGAAAGCCCGGGGCUCAACCCCGGAAGUGCAUUUGAAACUUAGGGACUUGAGUAUGGGAGAGGGAAGUGGAAUUCCUGGUGUAGCGGUGAAAUGCGUAGAUAUCAGGAGGAACACCAGUGGCGAAGGCGACUUCCUGGACCAAUACUGACGCUGAGGCGCGAAGGCGUGGGGAGCAAACAGGAUUAGAUACCCUGGUAGUCCACGCAGUAAACGGUGAACACUAGGUGUAGCGGGUAUUGACCCC